AGACGUGGCACCAAGGGACACAGUGAGUUGGCAUGGUAGCAGGGCUGAUGGUUGGACUAGAUAAUCUUAGUGGUCUUUUCCAACCUUAAUGGUUCUAUGAUUCUAUGAUCCUACAUUGAUGAAACAUCUUGGGAUUCUUGACAUAGGCCCUUAAACAACAUAAUCCUGCUAAAACAGCACUAGUCCUUGUUAUUUUCCAGUUAAUCUUUUUUAAUUUGUUUUUAAUAUCUUAAACUGCCCUGUUAAUCGGAGUAAUGGAAAAGAUGCCUUCUGUCAACCUGAUCACUGAGGUUGAUUUGAUGAUCUCUCAUACAUAGCAAAGCUGACUACUUUCCAACAACUUGAUUUCACAAAUGGAGAAACAGCAUCUGUUUUCCUGCAGCUCCACAUAUGGCUCCGAUCACUGCUGUGCAGAGUGAAGCAGGCCAGAUGUAGCUCAUCAUCAGUUGGAGCUGAUUUCAGAAGAGGUGUUAGAGUUUGCUGGUCCAAGAGAGGAUGUGAUCCAGGCAUCAAAGGGAGCCAUGAGUGAAGCGUGUGUUUCCACCCCUGCUCUCAAUUGUCUGUGCUACCUGCUGCUUGCUACUGAUGCCACCACACAGCCGGCCUGGAGUAAGGGCUCCCACAUUCCCCUCCACGAUCUUCAUCUUCCAGGCUCUCCAUCCAAGCCUACCAUCCUGCUUGGUGGUCAGUGACACAAUGUGGACUUGGUGCUCACCAAGGAGGAACUGCUAAUAAAUGCAAGCAUGUGCUCUGUGAACAUUAGGAGCCAGCUCCCUGCUGUGUGCUUGUUUGACUCAUCCACACUCAUACGCUAAGUAGUGAGGUAGCUAUCUCCUCGCCAUUCUUCCUUCGUGACUCUCAAACUUUUUCACUGUUUUGUGGGGAACACACUCCAAGUCAUCUGUGCAGCAUCUGUUGCCUGGUCUUUCUGACCUGUGCAAUAAGCUUUGUUCAUCUAAAAUGACUGAGAUUUGUUUGUUGUUGCUGAUGCCCACAGCACUCAAGAUGCAAAAAGUUCAGCAAUAAACCAGCAUAUG
rnacentral:lncRNA from 7 species